UACGUAGGGGGCAAGCGUUGUCCGGAAUCAUUGGGCGUAAAGCGCGUGUAGGCGGUUCGGUAAGUCCGCUGUGAAAGUCGGGGGCUCAACCCUCGGAUGCCGGUGGAUACUGUCGGGCUAGAGUGCGGAAGAGGCGAGUGGAAUUCCUGGUGUAGCGGUGAAAUGCGCAGAUAUCAGGAGGAACACCAAUUGCGAAGGCAGCUCGCUGGGACGUGACUGACGCUGAGACGCGAAAGCGUGGGGAGCAAACAGG
rnacentral:rRNA from 1 species